CCAAUAGCGUAUAUUAAAGUUGUUGCAGUUAAAAAGCUCGUAGUUGAACCUUAGGCCCGUGCGGGUGGUCCGUCCUCUGGGCGAGCACUGCCUCGUCGCGGGUCUCACCUUCUGGCGAGCGUGGAUGCCAUUCACUUGGUGUCUGCGGGAACCAGGACCUUUACCUUGAAAAAAUUAGAGUGCUCAAAGCGGGCUCGUACGCUUGAAUACAUUAGCAUGGAAUAAUGAAAUAGGACGACGGUUCUAUUUUGCUGGUUUCCGGGACAGUCGUAAUGAUUAAUAGGGUUAGUUGGGGGCAUUCGUAUUCAAUUGUCAGAGGUGAAAUUCUUGGAUUUAUUGAAGACGGACUACUGCGAAAGCAUUUGCAAAGGAUGUUUUCAUUAAUCAAGACCGAAAGUUGGGGGAUCGAAGACGAUCAGAUACCGUCGUAGUCUCAACCAUAAACUAUGCCGACUGGGAAUCGGGCGAUGUUAUUUUUCGUGACUCGCUCGGCGCCCCGAG
rnacentral:rRNA from 1 species